rnacentral:rRNA from 1 species
GAGCGUUGUUCGGAAUUACUGGGCGUAAAGGGCAUGUAGGCGGUUCUGUAAGCCUGACGUGAAAGGCUAUGGCUCAACCAUGGCACUGCGCUGGGAACCGCGGGACUUGAAUCAUGGAGGGGGAGCUGGAAUUCCAGGUGUAGGGGUGAAAUCUGUAGAUAUCUGGAAGAACACCAGUGGCGAAGGCGAGCUCCUGGCCAAUGAUUGACGCUGAGGUGCGAAAGUGUGGGGAUC